AAGUAUAGUAUAUUUUUUUCAGGGUUAAUUGCAUACAGCUCCUUAUAAAUAUAACAAAUUACAAUUAUAUCCCCACAAAGUUAAACUUUUUUAUAUUAUUCUUUCAAAAGUCCAGUGAUAUUCAUAGUUGUCCCCUCUGGUUUGUUACCUUUAGAGAACUGUUUAUUUUUUAACAGCAGAAAAGUGAAAUGUCAACUUUGUCAUCACAAAUAUGUCCCUCCAAAAGCCCCAAUUACUAUAAUCAUGCAUAGAUGUCCCCUCUAAAAAAAUUUCGAUGGUCAUCUUCUACCUCAUUUUCUUCUUAUUUAAAAUCAACCCAAUCCACUAUUGUUGCAAUCUCUUCUCUCACUCAUUUUCUUCUAAAUCUUUUCUUUUUGAGAAAAAUAAAAAAAAAAUUAUAGAGAAAUUGAAUGAGAAAGUUAACGCGUUCGAUAUGGACGAAACAAUAAGCGUUAUGGAUAUACUACACUGGAAUGGUAUGUAAGCGGAUGGGGGGCG
rnacentral:lncRNA from 1 species